AUUUUGUUGUUCUAUUCCCAUACAGUCCUUUCCCACUGAUUUGGGGAUUUUUACUUCGCUCUUUGCCCACUGGUUUAAAUCUUUCUCAAACAAACAAAUCAGUUAUACAGCCCUUGCCCUUGUCUUGGAGGAUUUUUGCUGAAGGUACUGAUAUGCAAAUUAAUUCAAUAUUCACCUCUUGUUGAUGGCGUUAUAGGCUUCUAGCUGCAGGAUGUGCUGCAUCAUCAUCUUAUUUUCUUGGACCCAAAAGGUGGCAGCCUAACUCAACAGCUAAGGAGGUAAGCACAAUACCUUUAGGCUACUUUUGACAUCUAUUUCAAUAGCUUGCCUUAAUGCUUAUUUACAUGUUAAAUUUAUUUGCUUAGGAACACAAGAUAGUUUAAGAAUUGGUAAUUCAUGUUGGCAUCCACAUGUAUUAUUUGAACUUUGGAUCACUAGUUGUUUUCUUAAACUGUAUAAUUGUUUUCAUAAUUUCUUUGCUUUUUAGUGUUUAUUUUGUCUAUCGUUUCAUGGCUGGCUGGGAUCUGCAUUUAUGUGGACUGUUAUCUAUUUGUAAGUUCAUUUUGAUGCAAGUAUUUUUAAGUUCUUUAGACGAGCAUUCUCCUUAACACAUGAAAACAGAUGUAGAUAGGUAGCAAACUUAGUGGAAUUCUAGAUCCCUAUCCAUUAAUAUUUGGUCUGAUAUGAAGAUUUUAUUUGCUGCAAGAGAGAGUGGCACAUGUUUGUUCUGUUUCUUCUCAUCAAAUCUUUUAACAAUCUUGAGAUUGAGUGAUUUCUUUGGAUCAAAUCUUUUCCUAUAUCUGCACUUUUGCUUCUCGUAGUCUUGAGAUUGAAGUGAUUUCUUGUGUUGGAGGAUGG
rnacentral:misc_RNA from 1 species